rnacentral:rRNA from 1 species
UACGGAAGGCAGCAGUGGGGAAUAUUGCACAAUGGGCGCAAAGCCUGAUGCAGCCAUGCCGCGUGUAUGAAGAAGGCCUUCGGGUUGUAAAGUACUUUCAGUCGUGAGGAAGGUGUUAAGGUUAAUAACCUUAGCAAUUGACGUUAGCGACAGAAGAAGCACCGGCUAACUCCGUGCCAGCAGCCGCGGUAAUACGGAGGGUGCGAGCGUUAAUCGGAAUUACUGGGCGUAAAGGGCACGCAGGCGGUUAAUUAAGUUGGAUGUGAAAUCCCCGGGCUUAACCUGGGAAUGGCAUUCAAGACUGGUUAGCUAGAGUCUUGUAGAGGGGGUAGAAUUCCAUGUGUAGCGGUGAAAUGCGUAGAGAUGUGGAGGAAUACCGGUGGCGAAGGCGGCCCCUGGACAAAGACUGACGCUCAUGUGCGAAAGCGUGGGGAGCAAACAGGGAUUAGAUACC